rnacentral:rRNA from 1 species
UACGGAGGGUGCGAGCGUUAUCCGGAUUCACUGGGUUUAAAGGGUGCGUAGGUGGGAAUGUAAGUCAGUGGUGAAAUCUCUGAGCUUAACUCAGAAACUGCCAUUGAUACUAUGUUUCUUGAAUUUUCUGGAGGUCAGCGGAAUAUGUCAUGUAGCGGUGAAAUGCUUAGAUAUGACAUAGAACACCAAUUGCGAAGGCAGCUGGCUACACAUAUAUUGACACUGAGGCACGAAAGCGUGGGGAUCAAACAGG